GGAGAGUAGUGGUGCAUAUAUGCUCUCUCCUAGCUCAGGAUCUUUGCUAGUCUUUUUAAGUCCCCUUGGGGUUAACAGCUCCCUGGGACGGGUGCGGUUUCGUACUCGAGCGCAUUAUUUCUGUCGUAUUUAGGUAUGGGCCCGAGGCCAUAUUGUGUUUCAACCAUCUUAAUAAAGGCCUGGAGCCACUCUAUUUUCCAUAAGAAUAGAUGUGUUGAAUACCUGUUUUCGAACAUUAUGACUUACAAAUCCAACAUGAAAGGACGCUCGAGAUGCCACGCCCUCAAUAUAAUUCUAAAAGCUAUCGAAUUAUGAAGGCGCGCC
rnacentral:lncRNA from 1 species